rnacentral:rRNA from 1 species
CGGUUGAUCCUGCCGGAGGUCACCGCUAUUGGGGUCCGACUAAGCCAUGCGAGUCGAGAGGGUUCGGCCCUCGGCGAACGGCUCAGUAACACGCGGAUAACCUACCCUUGGGUGGGGGAUAACCUCGGGAAACUGAGGAUAAUACCCCAUAGGCCCGGUAUGCUGGAACGCUUCCGGGCUGAAAGCUCCGGCGCCCAAGGAUGGGUCUGCGGCCUAUCAGGUUGUAGUGGGUGUAACGGACCCACUAGCCUUCGACGGGUACGGGCUGUGAGAGCAGUAGCCCGGAGAUGGACUCUGAGACACGAGUCCAGGCCCUACGGGGCGCAGCAGGCGCGAAAACUUCGCAAUGCGCGAAAGCGCGACGAGGGGACCCCAAGUGCCCAUGCACUGCAUGGGCUGUUCGUGUGCCUAAAAAGCACACGGAGGAAGGGCUGGGCAAGACGGGUGCCAGCCGCCGCGGUAAUACCCGCAGCCCGAGUGGUGACCACUAUUAUUGAGCCUAAAGCGUCCGUAGCCGGCCUCGUAAAUCCUUGGGGAAAUCGGGCCGCUUAACGGUUCGAAGUCCGGGGACACUGCGAGGCUUGGGACCGGGAGAGGUCGGAGGUACUCCAGGGGUAGGGGUGAAAUCCUGUAAUCCCUGGAGGACCACCAGUGGCGAAGGCGUCCGACUAGAACGGAUCCGACGGUGAGGGACGAAGCCCUGGGGCGCAAACCGGAUUAGAUACCCGGGUAGUCCAGGGUGUAAACGCUGCAGACUUGGUGUUGGGGAUCCUACGAGGAUGCCCAGUGCCGGGGAGAAGUUGUUAAGUCUGCCGCUUGGGGAGUACGGCCGCAAGGCUGAAACUUAAAGGAAUUGGCGGGGGAGCAC